rnacentral:rRNA from 1 species
CGAAGCGAAAUGCGAUACGUAAUGUGAAUUGCAGAUCUCAGUGAAUCAUCAAAUCUUUGAACGCACAUUGCGCUCUCUGGCAUUCCGGAGAGCAUGCCUGUUUGAGAACCUUGACGUCCUUCGCAAAAGCACCCUCCUCGAUGAUGAAUUGAGGCCGGGUUUGCGGAUUUGAACCAUCUUUGUCGGCCGGCAAUCUCUUGCCCACGCCGCGGAGAGGUUUCAAUUGCAUUUGGUCUGCAGCUGCCAAGCUUUCCCACACUGAAGAUGUGUGCGACAAAGACGUGAUAAUGUGGGGAAACUCAUUUAUAGCGUUGACACCUCGCGUCAUUCUCCUCUGGGACUCCAAAGGCUUGGUCAAAGCUGAUGAUCUCCUUCACAAAAACGCCAGGCGGAGGGACCCUCAUCGGGGGAAUCUCCGUACACCUGAACACCUGGUCUCAAAUCAGACAAGACUACCCGCUGAACUUAA